GUACACUCCUGCGGGAGGCAGCAGUGGGGAAUAUUGGACAAUGGGCGCAAGCCUGAUCCAGCCAUGCCGCGUGAGUGAUGAAGGCCCUAGGGUUGUAAAGCUCUUUCACCGGAGAAGAUAAUGACGGUAUCCGGAGAAGAAGCCCCGGCUAACUUCGUGCCAGCAGCCGCGGUAAUACGAAGGGGGCUAGCGUUGUUCGGAAUUACUGGGCGUAAAGCGCACGUAGGCGGAUCGAUCAGUCAGGGGUGAAAUCCCAGGGCUCAACCCUGGAACUGCCUUUGAUACUGUCGAUCUGGAGUAUGGAAGAGGUGAGUGGAAUUCCGAGUGUAGAGGUGAAAUUCGUAGAUAUUCGGAGGAACACCAGUGGCGAAGGCGGCUCACUGGUCCAUUACUGACGCUGAGGUGCGAAAGCGUGGGGAGCAAACAGGAUUAGAAACCCUAGUAGUCCCAUGA
rnacentral:rRNA from 1 species